GACGAACGCUGGCGGCGUGCCUAAUACAUGCAAGUAGAACGAGUUGCGAACGGGUGAGUAACGCGUGGUAACCUGCCUCAUAGCGGGGGAUAACUAUUGGAAACGUUAGCUAAUACCGCAUACUGUGAGAUGGACCUGCGUUGUAUUAGCUAGUAGGUGGGGUAACGGCUCACCUAGACGUCGAUCCCUAGCUGGUCUGAGAGGAUGACCAGCCACACUGGAACUGAGACACGGUCCAGACUCCUACGGGAGGCAGCAGUGGGGAAUAUUGCACAAUGGGCGCAAGCCUGAUGCAGCCAUGCCGCGUGUAUGAAGAAGGCCUUCGGGUUGUAAAGUACUUUAAGCGAGGAGGCGGUACCUGCAGAAUAAGCACCGGCUAACUACGUGCCAGCAGCCGCGGUAAUUC
rnacentral:rRNA from 1 species